AACGAACGCUGGCGGCAGGCUUAACACAUGCAAGUCGAACGGGUGUAGCAAUACAUCAGUGGCAGACGGGUGAGUAACACGUGGGAACCUUCCUCGGGGUACGGAACAACUCAGGGAAACUUGAGCUAAUACCGUAUACGUCCGUGAGGAGAAAGAUUUAUCGCCCUGAGACGGGCCCGCGUCGGAUUAGCUAGUUGGUGGGGUAACGGCCUACCAAGGCGACGAUCCGUAGCUGAUCUUAGAGGAUGAUCAGCCACACUGGGACUGAGACACGGCCCAGACUCCUACGGGAGGCAGCAGUGGGGAAUCUUGGACAAUGGGCGCAAGCCUGAUCCAGCCAUGCCGCGUGAGUGAAGAAGGUCUUCGGAUUGUAAAGCUCUUUUGCCAGGGACGAUAAUGACGGUACCUGGAGAAUAAGCCCCGGCAAACUUCGUGCCAGCAGCCGCGGUAA
rnacentral:rRNA from 1 species